GAUUGCAUCUCUUACACGACCUCUCUGCAAUCGCGGCUG
ncrna:unclassified sequences S4-Bacteroidia ribosomal protein leader